UACAACAUAAAUUUUUAUUCACGUCUCAACAAUAUCUUAACUUAAAGCAUAUCUGAUAUCUACGCAAAGUCGUAUUAUAUUCAGAGAAAUUUGUAUUCCGCGAGGCUCGCAUCUCGUUCGCAAACCGCGUACCACCAGGCGGAACAGGAUCGAUUUUGUGUGCCACUUGCCAGUCGAUGCCGAUGCCAUGCACCCGCUACCCAGGAAAUAAAGAUAAAAAAGGACAAUCGAUCAGGAUGGACACCCGCUGAGCGCAUGGCAAGAAUCGAUUGGAGGCGAUAACUCGACACGUCGUGUCUUGAUUCCUUGCUGGCACCGGCAAUAGCAAUAGCAAUAGUAAAAGCAACAGCAACAGGAAUAGCAAUCGCGAUGGCAAUAGUGUAGCAGAGUAGAGACAGAAUAGAAUAGAAUAUAGAAGCAUCGUAUUUGUCCCGAUUAAAAAACUGGAUCAAAGCAAAGGAUUUAUUGGUACAACAAAUAGUUUCCGUUUACAUGAAAUGUAGUUCUUUUAUGAAAUGGGUGCCUCCCAGCAAGCCGCAGGAGAGUCACCCAGCAGAACUGAUGGUACAGAGAGCUGAUGGUAGUCGUCCAUAGUUUGCGGAGUGGUCAGAGCGAGCAUCUGAAGGGUAUACAGUACAUCUAUUUGUGAGUAGACCAUAGAGGCGACACACACAUUGGUAUGUCGUACUAGUGGGGCAAUCACGACACACAAGGACAGACAUUGUAUUGGCAGAGAGCUCGAAUGAGGCCCCAUAGACCCGUAACGAAGGGGGAACUUAUUGACUUUGGCUGGGUGCAUUUUCCGCUAUCAAAUUGGGUGAGGCGGGGACACAACAGGGGCCAGCGGGAGGUCAAAUAAAGGGAGAAAGAGAGGAAUGGAGAAGGUUAUAAGCGGUCACGACAUGUGUCGUGCUUAGUAGCACUAUGUAAUGGCUUUUUCGUCCUUAUGUAUCUUGCCAAACGACCUAACCACCUACUCAUACUCAUACUCAUACUCAUAUACCGCACUGGUACUGUACGCUUGUUUAUAUACCAGCGUUUUAUUUAUUUAAUACCUAAUGCGCUUGACCGUAAAUAUCGAUAUGCGCUCUUCAAAGGACAUAUUUCUCUUCUAUUUGAUGGAGUAAUUUAUUAAUUUUUUUUUAUC